rnacentral:rRNA from 1 species
UACGGAGGGUGCAAGCGUUGUUCGGAUUUAUUGGGCGUAAAGCGAGCGUAGGUGGACUGUUAAGCAAGGUGUGAAAUCCCGGGGCUCAACUCCGGAACUGCACUUUGAACUGGCAGUCUUGAAUGCCGGAGGGGAAAGCGGAAUUCCGAGUGUAGAGGUGAAAUUCGUAGAUAUUCGGAGGAACACCAGUGGCGAAGGCGGCUUUCUGGACGGUAAUUGACACUGAGGCUCGAAAGCGUGGGUAGCAAACAGG